AUGGCCGCUGGCAAUUCCUCGGCUACCGCCACGGCCUUGCCGGCAUGCUCAAUGUGUGUCGGCGCGAGGUCGUCGAGUCGGAUCCCCUCGCCGGCCAGCAGCACCGCGUGCCUUUUCCACCGGGGAUCUGCAACUCCAAGGGGGAGGGUUUGUGGAUAUGGCACGCCGCGGUGCUGUGGGCUGAUGCUGAUGUCAAAUGUGGUUGUUCUGGCUACGUUUUUUGGCGACUUAGUGCUCCUACUUGAGUCAAUGCGGUUCAGACGAAUUUCUGAAAGAAAUGGCUGGGAUAAUACCAUCCAUUAUGCCUACAGAAACUUCUAUACUGCAGAGGAGUUGGGUGGAAAUGGUUGGAUCUGA
rnacentral:rRNA from 1 species